rnacentral:sRNA from 1 species
UGUCUCUACUAAAAAUAUAAAAAUUAGCUAGGCGUGGUGGCGGGCGCCUGUUAUCCCAGCUACUUGGGAGACUGAGGCAGGUAAAUCACUUGAACCUGGGAGGCAGAGUCUGCAGUGAGCCGAGAUGGUGCCACUGCACUCUAGGCCUGGGCGACAGAGUGACUCCAUCUCAAAAAAAAAAAAAAAAAAAGAAACUGAAGAUGCUCAGCAGGUGGGCAGCAUGGCCUCCAGGGGAUAGGAGGUGGUUGGUUGGCUGACAGCAGUGAGGGGAGGAAUAGAGCCUGGAGUAGCCCAAGCAAAGGGGCCUUGAUGCUAGAUAGUGUGUUACUUGAGGAGCUCAUAAGGACCUCCUGUGGCCAGGGCUUCUAUGGGCUGUGGCUUAUGUCUUAUGUGUCAUUCUCCAGGGAAGCGCCGCCGAGCUGCUAUGGACUUCCCUGGAGCCAAAGUCAUUGUUCCCCAGCUGAAGGGCAAGGUGCAGCGGAGGCGUGUGGGGUUGAUGUGUGAGGGGGCCCCCAUGCGGGCACACAGUCCCAUCCUGAACAUGGAGGGUACCAAGAUUGGUAGGUGGACCAGGGAAUCUGGGAAACCCUUGUCUCUUCCCCAGGAGGGUGGGGGCACUGGCAGGGUGGUGCUGAUGCAUGGCUUAUGCUUACCUGACAGGUACUGUGACUAGUGGCUGCCCCUCGCCCUCUCUGAAGAAGAAUGUGGCGAUGGGUUAUGUGCCCUGCGAGUACAGUCGUCCAGGGACAAUGCUGCUGGUAGAGGUGCGGCGGAAGCAGCAGAUGGCUGUAGUCAGCAAGAUGCCCUUUGUGCCCACAAACUACUAUACCCUCAAGUGAAGCUGGCUCAGGGUGGGGCUGUCCCUUCCAGAAGUUUUGCCCCUACAAGGGGUUAGUCAAGAAGCUGAGGCAGAACUCACUGGGGGUGGGCAGUUAAGGUGGAGGCUGAUUCUAAUUGUCUGGCUGAGGGGCCACACCACCUAUUCCCCCCACCUAACUCAUGCCACUCCAGCUUCCUUCAGGACCCUGCUUCUGAGUGACGGACCAGCUCACACAAUGUCUUGUUUCAGUCCAUGAUCCCACUGACCUACUCUUGCCUGCUGGAGGGUAAUGAGAAGCUUUGGUUCUGCCAUCUCUCCCACUCUGCCAGGUGCUGGCUGUGGAGCAAAGGCUCACCUUUGUGGGGAGGAUAAAACCUGCCCAACCUACCUCACCAUGGUUUUUCACAUUGCAAACGGUAAUAACAUGGGCAGUGUGGACUUAGGCUACCCCCUCCAGUUUGCUUUCCGUAAAUGCAAAUUGUCCCUACUGCAAGUCAGGAAUGAUUGCCGACUCACAGUAGGGCUGCUAUGCCUGUGUGUAAACUUGGGGAUGGCUGAGGGAACACAGACUCACUCUUCCGCAUUCCCAAGUUGGUCUAGUGUGCUGCCCAGUAGCAAACCAUGGCAGGCUCACCACCUAUUCUGAGCUCCAGGGCUGUUGUAGGGCAGGGUGGGCUUCCUCCCAGACUUGCCUUACCCUGGGCUGAUCUUUGCCCCUGGUAUGCAUUAAUGGACUCCACUGAAUCCUGAAAAAAAAUUAAACU